CUCCCUCUCUCUCCCUCUCUAUCUAUCUAUCUAUCUAUCUAUCUAUCUAUCUAUCUAUCUUUCUUUCGUCUUCUCUCUUUCCUUAUAUUUGUGUGUAUGCAUGUAUACACUUUAGUAUACAUUUGUAUAUAUAUAUAUAUAGAUAUAUAUAUGUAUAUCUUUAUCUGUGUGUGUGUGUGUGUGUGUGUGUGUGUGUGUGUACAUACGCUCAUCUACUUCGUGUAAAAUAUUUUGACUAGAACUUGUAGAGCUGCUCGGAAACACGUAUCCUUUCAAGAAACAUGCAGAGGUUUGCGUAGUUUGGUUAUAACCGCCAACGAAGACCUGGAGGACCGUGAAAGUAUCACACAAAUAUGAUUCAAUGACCAGCGAUUGGAAAAAAAUAUUGAUUAAACAGAAUUUCGUAUAUAAUGUUUCUAUCGUGUUCUUUUCAUGUUUUAAAGCUGUCUUUGAUUUCUUGCACAUUGUAAUUUCCAGUUUUUUAAAUUUUUUUUUUAUUCAUAUGAGCAAUAUUCUAUUUCAGCCAAUUGGUUGUUGGAAAUUCCUCAGAAAAUACCGAUAGAAGUGCCUGCUUGAAUUCGCUAACUCCAGCUUUUUGUUCAAAAUUGCUAUAAGAGGAUAUUGUACUUUUCUGGGAGACUAAAAUUACAUCUUCUAGAACCAUCAACACUGGAGAACGUGUGUUUUAUAACUAUAAAACCAAUUGGUUUUAUACUUAACAUUCUCAUUCUUUAGAUUCCUAUAUAUAUUAAAAACAAAUAUAAAUAAUCAAUAAAUAAAAUCAAUAAAAUCACAGCAACAACUAUCAUCCAGUCUUUUAGGGGGUAUUUAGACCAACGUUAUCCAAUCUGCUUUUCAUUCUUUGAGCCAGCGGGGUUGAUGGAAAGCCAGGCGUAUUGACUAUAAAGAGGAUAUUCAAGCGUCCUCUUCAUUGCACAAGUUUCAAAUCCAUAGAGAAGGAUGUUCACUACAUAUGCCUCGAAAUUACCAACGUUGUUGAAUUUGGUAACGUUGAUGUAAAACUUGUUACAGACAUCCCAGGCUUGUCCCAUGCGCGUGAGGAAGUCUUUCUUAGUGCCAGUAACAGAGAACCAAAUGUACGCGAGCCCAGCGGUACACAAGCAUCAGAUAGGCUUUUGUAACGAUACCUAUACAAAGGAAACAAACCAAUCCGUCUUCUCGAAGCUUCCAGUUAUUCCACUUAACGCAGAAAGGUGAUCUUCGUCUGCCCCAGAACUACCGAAUAAUUACGUAUUUUCGUCUAACCACAAAGAUCUGCAAUUCUUAGAAAAACAUUUACUGGUGGGCUGGAUAAUCCACUAAGCAGUGUUUACCCCCGAAAACCCUUCAAAUGAUCCCUAUAAAUACGAACCUGACACGACAAGAAUCAUAAACGGAAUAUUAUUUCUAGAAAAGCAUAAAAGGAUCUCAUUUGUGUUUAUA